CUUAUAUAGCAGACAUACUGUUUUUACUUGCAACACUAACGACUCUUCGUAGCCAAUGCAAACAGUAGAUAGCUAAAACUUAGUUCCAAGGCUCAAUUUGAAGAGUAAUUUACUAUUUUAUCACGUUCAAUGCGAAGAAAGAGGAUUAAUUAUUCUUCACAUAGACGUACUGAGUGUCACAUUUACUAAUAAAAAAUACAUUCGUCGCGUCUCUACCCACGCGUGUUUGCUGCUUUAUGGCGGCAGAUGAGCCCUUAGAAUUUCGCCGGCGUAGUCAAAUUUUCUCAAUUUCCAGUCACAACCUUGGACAGCGACGGCCAACGGUUUAAAUAGUAUCGUUGGACUCCUGGUGGACUACUCUCUACUAUCCAUUGUCAAACUUGUUUGGUCGUUGCUGUCCAAGAGAAACCAUAUACUGAUUUUCAAUGUCCAGCGCUUCCACCCACGGACCUUUUGACCUUUUUUGGCUCUACUGCCAAAAACAAAAGACAACCAGAAAAAAGUUGUUCCACAUAAUUGUCAGGGGAGACUAACGAUUCUAUAGAGCCAUCGAUCAUUCGGAUCGGAUGUGGCUUGAAUCUCAGUUGUUCGAUACCUUGGCAAAUUCAUUCUUAACAUGUAAAGUAAUAGAUUAAUGAGACGAAUCGUUUGAUGUGAUGGAAUAGUUAAUGUCUACCUUUCUCAAUAAAGCCAACGAAAGUUUUAAUUUUUGUCAUUGAGGAAAUGAUACUUUUGUUGGUCCGAGCCGAAGGCGAGGAAGCUCACUUUCUUUUCUAUAGCGCAUAAUAUUAUUUGAUCCAAUUACCCCAUUUCAAUUGUAAUAAUUGCGUUCAUGUCUUAUUAAUAAUACGUUCCAAUUAAAUACAAUUGAGAAAAACAAGUACCUAUACCUUUGCCCGACCAAUAUUUCAUAUGUUUGUCGUCAACACCACCACAUUUACGAGUUAGUCGCUUCAUUUAGUAGAACUGUUUCAACCGAUAUACUCAGCAAUGGCAAAAUUAAGGUUCUUAAUCUCAUCAAUUAUUAUGGUCCUCAUAGCCACGAUUCCAUCAUAUUUUGCAUCAAGACCUCGAUACCUACAAUGUCCAGUUGAAAACUGCUUGCCACCAAGUCAAUGUGAAAUUUUCGUACUGCAAGAUAACGAAAUAUGC